UUGUCUCCAUGGCAGUGUACUGGAAGGUUUGACAGUACCUGAGCUGCCACAGUGAUCCUACACAGCACCAGCCUUGGCACAUGCUGCUCCAUCCCUGAACCAAUGCACGUGUGAUCCUGGCAGAGAAGCAACAUGAUUAGAAACAAGGAAUUUUCCAGCAAGUCAGUGAACUGAAUUAACUGAGAAAAAAGAUACAGCAAACAGCCAUCCAAAGCAUCCUCAAAAUGCUACUCUUUGCUUGGCUCCAUCUUCUCACCAGACAGUCCAAAGCUUUUUGGCCAUCAGCACACACACCUUUGCACUCGGAUCUUUCCUUGCUUGUUCAGAGGGAAUGCAGCCCGGGUCAGUGCAGACAUGAGACAAGAAAUCACGACAUCAAUAUCCCAUGUCUAUGAAAGCUGAGAAAAAGAACAACCCUGAAAUGCAAGAGGAGCUCAGAAAGAAACUACUGUUCCUAAUAGUGCUCAGGAGCAACAGCAGCCCAAGCCUCCCCCAUGAGCAUCCUCUCAGCAGGUUGCUGUGAGGGGCUGAGACUGCUCUCAACCUAUUGUUCACCUGGAACCUAACUGCACUGCUAAGGAAGGCCAAGCUUACCUUUACAAUGGUGACUCCUGUUGGCCACUCUCUCUCCCUGCUAACACUAAUCAUUAGUGGUGUUUUCUCCCUGCUGUGAUUGAGACAGCAUUAAUUGCUGCCCAAACUGCUGUCACUAAUUGGUCUCAGUGCCCCUAUUAAACAAAAACAGGGUAAAAAAUUGUUUGCACUCCUCCUGGACAUUGAGCAAACAGUCUCAAGCACACUCUCAGUGAGCAGAUGCUUUCUGCCAUGAAUAAACACGUUUUGACUUCACAUCAGCUCUUCAGAGCUGGUAGGAUGCAACAACAAAGUCAGUCACAGACACGCAGGAUGACUGCCACUGCAGAGCAGCAAAUUAGAUCCUGCUGCUUCACACAUCAUCAACAAAUUCAGGUGCUGGAAAUUUAAUAGCCAAAACACAGCUGAGCAGAUGCAAGGAAGACUCUGUUUCCUGCAACAAGGUCUAAAGGCAUUUGGGAAAGUUACAGCUGAACUAGAGGGAAUGCUCAA